rnacentral:rRNA from 1 species
GUUUGUGACCUGCCCUAUGCAGGGGGAUAACCCUGACAAAUCCUGCCUAAUACCUCGUAACACCUUUGGGGAGCAUUCCCUUGGGGUUAAAGGAGAAAUCCUGCCUAGGAUGGACAUGCGUCGCAUUAAGUAGACGGCCGGGUAACGGCCCACCCUGCCGACCAUGCAUAAGGGUUCUGACAGGAAGGCCCCCCACACUGGUACUGAGACACGGACCAGACUCCUACGGGAGGCAGCAGUGAGGAAUAUUGGUCAAUGGCCAAGAGGCUGAACCAGCCAAGUCGCGUGAGGGAAGAAUGUCCUAAGGAUUGUAAACCUCUUUUGUCGGGGAGCAAAAAGGCUCUGCGGAGUCGUAUUGAGAAAACCCGUUGAAAAAGCAUCGGCUGAGUCCGAACCAGCAGCCGCGGUAAUACGGAGGAUGCGAGCGUUAUCCGGAUUUAUUGGGUUUAAAGGGUGCGCAGGCGGCGUGUCAAGCAAGCGGUAAAAUAGCGGGGCUCAACCCCGUCGAGCCGUUUGAACUGGCGCGCUUGAGUUCAGGCGAGGUAGGCGGAAUUCGUGGUGUAGCGGUGAAAUGCAUAGAUCUUUUGGAGAACUCCGAUUGCGAAGGCAGCUUACCAGUCUGCGACUGACGCUCAGGCACGAAAGU